GUCACUAUGAGAUUAGGCUGUAAAGACUGUGUCUUCAGUCUUGGGCACUGUCUCUCACUUUUGCCCCCCUCUUUUAUCUUUCGUGCUGGGAAGUGAGCUGCCAUGCUGUGAACAGCCAGCCCUGUGAAGAGGACCACAGCCAGUAAGGAACCGAAGCCUGGCAACAACCAUGUGAGUGAGCUUGGAAGAGGAUUCCUCCUGCAGUUGUGCCUUCCGGUGAGAUAGCAGCACUGGACCACAAUCUCAUGAGAGAUCUUGAGCCAGAGGCACACAGCUAAGCCACGCCCAGAUUCCUGACCCACAGGAACUGUGAGAUGACAACUGCUGUUUUAAGUGUGCUGGACCAGUCAAAGAAUCCUGCGUCAAAAUCGAGAGAACGAACAAGCCUUCAUCGCCAUGGCACAUUUAUAUAAAAAGAAAGGGAGAGAUGUUGCAGGAAGUCAGAGACCCCAAACAGAAGGACCGGCUGAAACCAUGGCAGAAAAACGUGGAUUGUGAAGAGUUUAUAGACAUUUAUUAGUUCCCCAAAUUAAUACUUUUGUAAUUUCUUAUGCCUGUCUUUACUGCAAUCUCUAAACAUAAAUUGUAAAGAUUUCAUAGACACUUAUCACUUCCCCAAUCAAUACCCUUGUGAUUUCCUAUGCCUGUCUUUAAUCUCUUAAUCCUGUCAGCCUAAGGCUAUGUCACCUUAGGACCCUGUAAUAAUUGCAUUAACUGCACAAAUUGUACAGCAUGUGUGUUUGAGCAACAUGAAAUGUAGGCACCUUGAAAAAAGAACAGGAUAACAGCAAUUGUUCAAGGAAUACGAGAGAUAACCUUAAACUCUGACUGCUGGAGAGCCAGGCAGAACAGAGCCAUAUUUCUCUUCUUUCAAAAGCAAAUGGGAGAAAUAUCGCUGAAUUCUUUUUCUCAGCAUGGAACGUCCCUGAGAAAGAGAAUGCGCACCUAGGAGUAAGUCUUUGAACUGGCCCCCGCCCACCCCGAGGCGUACCUGUCUCUUAUGGUCAAGAUUGCAGAGGUAAGAUAGACUCCAGUCUCCCAUAGCACUCCCAGGCUUAUUAGGAAGAGGAAAUUCCCGCCUAAUAGAUUUUAGUCAGACCAGUUGAUCUCAAAACCCUGUCUCCUGAUAAGAUGUUAUCAAUGACAAUAGUGCCUGAAACUUCAUUAGCAAUUUUAAUUUCGCCUCAGUCCUGUGGUCCUGUGAUCUCGCCCUGCCUCCACUUGCCUUGUAAUAUUCUAUUACCCUGUUAAGUACUUGAUGUCUGUCACCCACACCUAUUCGCAUACUCCCUCCCCUUUUGAAAAUCCCUAAUAAAAACUUGCUAGUUUUUGUGGCUCGAAAGGCAUCACAGAUCCUACCAACGUGUGACGUCUCCCCUGGAUGCCCAGCUUUAAAAUUUCUCUCUUUUGUACUCUGUCCCUUUAUUUAUCAUGCCGGCCGACGCUUAAGAAAAAUAGAAAAGAACCUACGUGAUUAUCGGGGCAAGUCCCCCGAUAGAUAUUGGUCUAAAAUUCUCCUUUUUUUUGUUGUGUCUCUGCCAGGCUUUGGUAUCAGGAUGAUGCUGACCUCAUAAAAUGAGUUAGGGAGGAUUCCCUCUUUUUCUAUUGAUUGGAAUAGUUUCAGAAGGAAUGGUACCAGCUCCUCCUUGUACCUCUGGUAGAAUUGGGCUGUGAAUCCAUCUGGUCCUGGACUUUUUUGCUUGGUAGGCUAUUAAUUAUUGCCUCAAUUUCAGAGCCUGUUAUUGGUCUAUUCAGGGAUUCAACUUCUUCCUGGUUUAGUCUUGGGAGGGUGUAUGUGUCCAGGAAUUUAUCCAUUUCUUCUAGAUUUUCUAGUUUAUUUGAGUAGAGGUGUUUAUAGUAUUCUCUGAUGGUAGUUUGUAUUUCUGUGGGAUUGGUGGUGAUAUCCCCUUUAUCAUUUUUUAUUGCGUCUAUUUGAUUCUUCUCUCUUUUCUUAUUAGUCUUGCUAGCGGUGUAUCAAUUUUGUUGAUCUUUUCAAAAAACCAGCUCCUGGAUUCAUUUAUUUUUUUGAAGGGUUUUUUGUGUCUCUAUUUCCUUCAGUUCUGCUCUGAUCUUAGUUAUUUCUUGCCUUCUGCUAGCUUUUGAAUUGUGUUUGCUCUUGUUUCUCUAGUUCUCUUUCAAUUGUGAUGUUAGGGUGUCAAUUUUAGAUCUUUCUUGCUUUCUCUUGUGGGCAUUUAGUGCUAUAAAUUUCCCACUACACCCUGCUUUAAAUGUGUCCCAGAGAUUCUAGUAUGUUGUGUCUUUGUUCUCAUUGGCUUCAAAGAACAUCUUUAUUUCUGCCUUCAUUUUGUUAUGUACCCAGUAGUCAUUCAGGAGCAGGAUGUUCAGUUUCCAUGUAGUUGAGCAGUUUUGAGUGAGUUUCUUCAUCCUGAGUUCUAGUUUGAUUGCACUGGUCUGAGAGACAGUUUGUUAUAAUUUCUGUUCUUUUACAUUUGCUGAGGAGUGCUUUACUUCCAACUGUGUGGUCAAUUUUGGAAUGUGCAAUGUGGUGCUGAGAAGAAUGUGUAUUCUGUUGAUUUGGGGUGGAGAGUUCUGUAGAUGUCUAUUAGGUCUGCUUGGUGCAGAGCUGAGUUCAAUUCCUGGAUAUCCUUGUUAACUUUUUCUCUCGUUGAUCUGUCUGAUAUUGACAGUGGGGUGUUAAAGUCUCCCAUUAUUAUUGUGUGGGAGUCUAAGUCUCUUUUUAGGUCUCUAAGGACCUGCUUUUUGAAUCUAGGUGCUCCUGUAUUGGGUGCAUAUAUAUUUAGGAUAGUUAGCUCUUCUUGUUGAAUUGAUCCCUUUACCAUUAUGUAAUGGCCUUCUUUGUCUCUUUUGAUCUUUGUUGGUUUAAAGUCUGUUUUAUCAGAGACUAGGAUUGCAACCCCUGCUUUUUUUUUGUUUUCCAUUUGCUUGGUAGAUCUUCCUCCAUCCCUUUAUUUUGAGCCUAUGUGUGUCUCUGCAUGUGAGAUGUGUCUCCUGAAUACAGCACACUGAUGGGUCUUGACUCUUUAUCCAAUUUGCCAGUCUGUGUUUUUUAAUUGGAGCAUUUAGCCCAUUUACAUUUAAGGUUAAUAUUGUUAUGUGUGAAUUUGAUCCUGUCAUUAUGAUGUUAGCUGGUUAUUUUGCUCGUUAGUUGAUGCAGUUUCUUCCUAGCAUCGAUGGUCUUUACAAUUUGGCAUGUUUUGCAGUGGCUGUGAACUUUAAAAAAUUAUAUAGCUGGGACUAUAGGUGCAUGGCAUCAUGCCUGGUUUUUGUGGUUUUUUUUUGUUUUUUUUUGUUUUUGACACAAAGCAAUGGUAUUAUGACUUUGGGUAGCCUUCAUUACAAAGUUUUUCUUCAUCUUAUUUGUUUUUUUUUUUCUUUUUGUGGAGACAGGGUUUUGCUCUGUCUCCCAGGUUGGAGUACAGUGGCAUGGUCGUAGCUCACUGCAGCCUUUCACUCCUGGGCUCAAGUAAUCCUCCCACCUUACUCUAAUUACUUAGAGUAAUUACUCAGUAAUUACUUACUCAGCCUCUCAAGUAGCUGAGACAACUAUAGGCUCAAGCCACUGCAACCAGUAUCAUUUUAUUUCUUCAAUUUGCAAGGUAUCCAGGUGUUUUUCAUAUUUAAAUUUCAACCAUUCUAAAAAAAUACCUCUUACAUCCACAGUAAUGAUUUAUAAAUACACAUGGACAAAUACUGAAAUAUAACAUAAGCCUGCUCUUACCAGCUGGAUAACAUUCUAAUUGAGUUUUUCCAUCUUCAGAUGACAUAAGUAGUGAAGUUAAACUGUUGUUUAGACAUGGCAUGCGAUACUCAGCUCAAAGAGCCGUCUUAAACUUUUUCAUUUAAGUUACUGACAUUUUUUGUCUUUCUUGUGCUAGAAAUUUAUUAUGUAUUAAGCUCAAAUUACUUAGAACGAGAACUAUAAUCAUUGGCAGGAACAAAGGUUUCCAAAAAUAAAUAUGCUAUUAGCCAAGAUAAGCUUUGAAAGCACUGUAAGUAGGUAUGGUAUAAUGUUAAACCACCUUCUAAGAGAUUUGAAAAAUGACUAAAAUGCCUGCCAUUUUCAUUGUUAUUUGGCAUUUAAACCAGCUUUGAAUGAACAAAAGAUCCCCGUUAUGGAGAAAGUGAGAAAAGUAAAGGAGAAAUAGGAAUUACCUCUAAAGUGUUCAUUAUAUAUCUGGGAGGGCAAAACAAACAAAUAAAAAACAAAACAAAACAAAGAAAGUAUCUAAAAAUUGUUCACUACUCUUUUCUAGGGGAAAUCAGGAAUAACUAGCACUGAGUAUCAGAGAGGUGAAUGCAUAUUUUUGAAGUAGCAGUCCUCCCACCUCAGGCUCCUGAGUCACUGGGACUGCAGGUGCGCACCACCACGCUUGGCUAAUUUUUUAAUUUUUAUUUUUGUAGAGACGGGAUUUCCCUAUGUUGCCCAGGCUGAGAAGUAAUAUUCUUAAGGAGAAUCAAGAUCCACUGAAAUCUCAAAAUUGUCCUGUAAUACUAUUCCAUGUCAUCACCUUAAGAUACAUUAUUAAUCUACUUUUAAAAUAUUUUAUUGUUUUGCAUAAUCUGAGGAAGUAGCAUGGUAUAAUACAACGAACAUUCAUUCAUUGAUUAAAUCAUUAAUAUUCAUUGAGCACCUACUGCAUGCCAGAUACAUUCUAGGUGCUAGACAGAAGUGAACCAAGAGCCAAAAAUCCCUAGACUUAUGCAGCUUAUAUUUUAUGACCUAGACAGACAAUAAACAUAUAAGUAACAUAUAGGUAUGUCUUAGGGUGACAGAUGCUAUGGAGAAAGAUAAGGGAGGGGAAGGGGGAUAGGGAAUACUGGUGGCAUUCCUUCCCCCACAUUUUAAAUAGGGUGGUCAGGGAAGGUCUUACUAAGAAGCUGAUACCUAAGCAAAGACCUGAAGAUGGUGAGGGAACAAGCCAUGAUAUCUGAGGGAAGAGUAUUCUAGGGAAGGGUCAUAUAAAGGUGCUGAGGUGAAAUGUGCCUGCAGUCUGAAGAACAGCAAGGAGGCUGAUAUGAUGGGAAUGGAGUAAGCAGGGAGAGUAGGAAGGGGUGACAUGAGUCAAGUGUCAGGGAGCCAAACUGUAUACAGAAUUAAGAAAGAAUACCUAGGGGGAGAGGCCUGGAUUCAGGAGUCAUUGUUGUACAGAUAGCAUUUAAAGCCAUCAAAACUAGAUGAGCUCUCCAAGGGCCGGAGUGUAGAUGGACGUGAUAUUUUGAAAUAUAUAUUUGGUCUACAGCUCCGUUUCCUGGAAUACAAUUCCUAAAAUCCUUAGAAUGGCGUAAGGGCUAUCUUUGUAUGCCAAUGACUGACUGAUGGCUGGCAGCCCCUAGGCAGUUGCAGGAUGAGGGGUGGUCACAGGAAAGACCAAGGAGGGAUGAGAGGGUUGGGACUUUUGGCCCCACCCCCAACCUCCAGGGAGGGGAGAGGGGCUGAAGGUUGAGUUGACCUCCAAUGGUCAAUGGUAAUGAAGCCUCCAUAGAAACCCAAAAGGACAGGGUUCAGGGAGUUUCCGGAUAGCUGCACACAUGGAGGUUCCUGGAGGGUGGUGCAUCCACAGAGGGCAUGGAAGCUUCCCACUUCACCCCUAUACCUCCAUCAAUGCAUCUCUUCAUCUGUAUCCUUUGUAAUUUUCUUUAUAACACAAUGGUAAAAGUGUUUCCCUGACUUCUGUGAGCUGAUCUAACAAAUUAAUGGAACCCAAAGAGCAGGUGUAGGAUCUCUGAUUUGUAGCCAGUCAGUCUGACAUUCUGGAGGCCUGGACUUGUGACUGGUGUCUGAAAGGGUGGGAAGGGGAGGCCUUGGGGACCAAGCCCUCAAACUGUGGGAUGUGAUACUAUAGUGUCAGAAUUGAAUUAGAGAAUACCCAGCAGCAGGGCUGAUUACUUGCUUCUUAAUGGGGAGAAAUCCCCACACAUUUGGUGAAAGAAGUCUUGUGUGUUGAUUGUUGUUGUUGUGUGGUGCGAGAGCAGAGGAAAACAGUUCUGAGUUUUUCCACCUUCAGUUAGUGUCAGUGAAGUAGGGUUUGCUAGAACGGCCCUGGCUCACAGAAAUAUGUGGUUUGGGAAGAGAAAGAAUGAAAGGGUGGGAGAUGAGGAACCUUUGAUUCCUGGUUCAUUAUCGUGGUCUUCCAUGGUUUGGAGCUGCAACUGUGUCGCAAUCAAUUGCUAAAGGUAAAAGUUACCAGUGGAAUUUAGAGAUGGAUCCAACUCAGGGAGUUGGUUCACUGGAUGCAUAAGGAUAUGCAAACUAGUAAGAAAAAGAUGAAAUAUUCACUCCCUUGGUGGUGGUUGUCUGUAAUAGCUGAACAGAAAUGAAACAAAUGCUGGAUGAGGCCUUGAUGCUAGACCAAGCUCAGAUUUCAGUCUAUCUGAGCCCAGGCCACUAGCCUUCAAGCUGACCCCCAAAGGAAAAAUUAUACAGGGAUGACAGUACCUCUACGACCUGUGGUUACCACGAAGGUAGUUGAUGUGAGGGAAGGGCAAAACCAAGAAACUACUGAAACCAGAGGGUACAGUGUGAAGAAAUUGUCUCAUUUCAUAGAUUGGUAUCAUCAGUUUACUGAAAAUCCUUUACUAAAAUGGAUUGUGAGAAUAACUAAUUUAGGGCACUUUCUUUGGUUUUAAAUGCUGCAGAGUGGACAGGCAUGUUUGGGUUGAUGCAGGACCCACAGCUCACUACUGAACAAUCAACAAUGGGUAUAAUGUGAUCCAGACACACAGGGAGUUAUUCCUGAGGGAACAGUCAGCCUAGUGAAUGGAAUAAAAGCCACUGUAAGGUCUGUACACCCUGAGAAGGUAGAGACUGUCCAACUCUACCUAUCAAUGCCAAGUGGAGUACCCCAGGUGAAGCGGCUCAUUUGGUUCCUAUGCAGGCCAUGUGGGACUGGCUUUAUGAUGACUGAGAUAUUCACUCACUGAAUACAUCCAUUACUCUGGCUGUAGUAAAUGCUAUGGCUGAGGGAGCCUCUUUUGUAUGGGCACCAAUGAAAACAUGAGCGUAAUUAACAAAAGACUGGGGAAAGGCAGAGAGGAGAGUCACAGGACUCAUCCCAGGAAGGUGGAAAGUUUAAAUGGUUAUUAAUAAAUAAGGUGAAUGAAGAAAACAGUGAUGGGGUGAAACUAAGAGAAAAAAGAAAGAGGAGAAUCAUGGGACUCAUCCCAGCAGGGUGGAAUCUUUAGAGGGCUAAUAAGAAAUGGGAAGAAUAGGGCCGGAUGCUGUGGCUCACAUCUGUAAUCCCAGCACUUUGGGAGGCCGAGGCGGGUGGAUCACCUGAGCUCAGGAGUUUGAGAGCAUCCUGGCAAACAUGGUGAAACCCCCUCUCUAAUAAAAAUACAAAAAAAUUAGCCAGGCAUGGUGGCGGGCACCUGUAAUCGCAGCUACUCGGGAAGCUGAGGCAGGAGAAUGGCUUGAACCUGGGAGGCGGAGGUUGCAGUGAGCUGAGAUUGCGCCACUGCACUCCAGCCUGGGUGACAGGGCAAGACUCUGUCUCAAAAAAAUAAAAAAGAAAUAAAAAGAAAUGAGAUGAAUAAAGUGGAAAUCGAUGGGGUUAAAACAAAGAUCUCAAUAUAAUACUAUCAAAGGUUGGUAGGGAGCUUCUGCUGUUCUCCCAAUGUUAAGGGAUUCCAAACAGGUUUGCUGUAUUCACCCCAGUUUGGAGAAAUUGAAAAAGUCAGAAGGCAGAGAUUACAGUGAGAAAGCUGACCAACAGUUACUUGGGGUAAUGUUGAGGCAGGUUAAUCAAUACAAAGACUGACAAAAGGGGCAAGGUCCCUUGGCUCAACCUGCUGUUGGGGACUCAACAUUUUUUUUUUUUUUUUUUAAACAAGAAAGGGUAAAAGUGAGGGUUGAUAGGAGUAUGAGAUUUGGAAUGUUUAAACAGGAUAUACAUAAAUAAGUUAUGUCUCCUUUACCUAAAUGUUUUAUGGAACUGGAUAAUUAUGACUGGGUGGAGAACACUUCCCCUACCCAGUAUUGUAAAACAGAAGAAAUGUAAAUCUGCACUUCGAGAAAUAUUAAUUGGACACGCUAACUAGGCACCAGUAAGAUUGCUUGAGCUCACACAGUGUGGAGUUGAGAAGCUGGAGUGCUGGUAGGGACAAAUUCUCCAUCUGCUCGCCCUUUGCAGGAUGUUUACUGGGGCUUAUGGCCAAAGUCUGUGAGCAUCUCCCAGUGACAACCACUAGGACUUUGCACUAGAGAAUUUCCAUCUCGGUGCAUUUACUACCUUGCUAUGGGACAUUAACUGAAACUAUCCCUAAUGACUGAAGGACAUAAAAUGAUCUUGACACCUGAAAUACCCAUGCUUUCUCACAUGAUGUCAGAGAAACAUUCAAAUGGGGAUGGCAGCGCCCAGAAUAGUUCCAUAAUAAAAUGGAAAUGGUUUAUGCAGGAACAUCCUCUCCGGGAAGUGCAAGGAGGAAACAUCCUCAAGCAGGGAGCCUCUUUUCCCCUAGGACUGACUCUGGAACUGUGUGAGGAACUGUGGGAUUCUACUGACACUUGGACAGGGCCCCGUGAACAGCUCUCAACUGACCAACGAAGAGCUGCUUGGUGUGUGGAUGACAGUUCCAAGGUGAAUCGACAGCAUCCUGUUUGGAAGGAUGCCACUCUUGAUCAAAGAAGGUAAGAUCACAUUAGCUUGGCAGUUGAAUUGCAUUCUGAAGAAAUGAACAAUAACAAAAGCUCCCGUGUUUGGUUUUUUACUGACUCAUGGACAGUCACCAGUGGCCUGGUCACAUGGUCAGGCAGAAGGGCAGUGGAAACCUGGCCUAUUUAUUAAAGGGAUGCCCAUAUGGAGAAUGGCCCUAUGGAAAUUUGAGGGGUGCAAUAAGUAGAAUAUGUUGAUGCCCAUCAUAAGAGCCUCUUUCUGGGUUUGGAAAAUGAUUGACAUUGACAAGCAGAGAACCCUGUGUGCUCCCUCGAGGUGGCCACCUGGGUCCAUCAAAUGAGUGGAUAAACGGGUACUGCAACAGUGCAGAGAUGGGCUGCAUCUAGACAGGUUUCUUUUGUAUCAUUUCAGGCACAAAAUGCCAAUAAGAACUGUUCUGUCUGCCAGCAAAAGAGACAGACACUGCCCAUGGCUGUGGGGCAGAUUUCCCUGGUGGGAAAGCCCUGAACAAGCUGGCAAGUGAGGCUGAUGCUGGUAACCCUGGGAGGCCACAGAUGGGUUUUGACAGGAGUAGACACUGAUUCUGGACUGGGCUUUGCUUGCCCGGUGGAAGAUGUGAAUGAUGAGAAUACCAUAAAAAAGCCAGAACAGAAGAUAUUGCACAUAUUUGGAGAGCUGAACACCAUUUCUUUAGGCCAAAGAACACACGGUACAGCCCAUAAUGUUCCAGCAGUGGGCAGAGAUAUUCUUCUCAGAGUAAUAGUUUGAUAGAGACUAAAAUGGGCAAUGAAAACAUUGGUUGUCUAAAACAGGGGGAGAUGAAAGCAGGAAGGGCUGGCUUACUUGCCUUUACCAGUGUGUACUCACACUCAACAUGAGUGGGGCUAAAGGAGUGUCCCCACUAGAUAUUCUUUCGUUUUUCUGAUUGAUCUGGGGAAGGGGGGUGGUAGAGGAUGCUGUUAUGACUAUGCAAUUCUUGACAAGAGGGGAGUAUGCUGAUAUAAUGACUAUACUUUUUUCUUUCCUUCUUUCCCAUAUCAUCUAAACUCCCCCUGCCCCUCCCUAUGCAGUGGUUCUAGGACCAGAGCCAUAACUACCAGUGUUAGAACCAGGGAUGAUUCCUAAACAAGAAAUUGUAACUAUGUUUUUAAACCUUGUGUCAGAAUUCCUAAGGACCUGAUGGGGGUGGGUUGUGCAAAACGGGUUAAUUGUGAAUGCAGCUAUAUUGCCUGGUGGUAAAAACGGUCCACUAAAUUGGCACCUAUGUAACCUUAGUCUCCCUGCAUGGGAGUGGACUGAGGAGGAGGUAAUUACUAGACUAAUAUUGCUGUCUGCCAUCUAGACCAGCACGAUGUUGAUUCUAAUGUUUCUUCCAAAGGUUAUUAAUAAAGUGAGGAAAAAAUUAACAGCUGAGAGUAAAGGAAUAAAUAAAUGUGUUAUGAAUUCAGGGAAAUCCAUUAUCACAUUACAUUAACACCUUGAAAGAGACUCAGAGCAAGAAAGGAUACUGUUUCUUAGCUCAAUUAUAUCAGGUGUCUGAAACGGUGAAACCAAGACCAUUCCUGCUUUUAGAACCUGGCAAGAUCAAUGGAAAGCCUGCAAACCUGAGUGGCCUCAUGCUGGGAGACCUAUUCAUACAUUAUGAUGAUGGACUGAACUAAUUAUCAAUGCCUGAAUGAGAUUCUAGUAAUGUGGCAGUGUCUUUUGAAUUAUAUAUUCUUUUAUAUUUCUUUUUUUUUUGUUUGUUUGAGACAGAGUUUCGCUCUUGUAGCCCAGGCUGGAGUGCUAUGGCGUGAUCUUGGCUCACUGCAACCUCUGCCUCCUGGGUUCAAGCGAUUCUCCUGCCUCAGCCUCCCAAGUAGCUGGGAUUACAGGCACCUGCCACCACACCCAGCUAAUUUUUAUAUUUUUAGUAGAGAUGGGGUUUCACCACAUUGGCCUAUAUUUUUUUAAUGUAAGGAAUCCAGGUUUGAAGACCAGAGGUAUACUGUGAAAUAUAUAUUUGGUCCUCUAGCUCAUUUCCUGGCAUACAACUCCUAAAAUCCUUAGAAACGCCAAAGAUGUCUGAUGGCUGGCAGCCUCUAGGCAGCUUCAGGAUGGGGUCACAAAGACCCAGGCAGGAUUAGAGGGUUGGGACUUUCAGCCCCACCCCUCAAUCUCUGGGUAGGGGAGAGGUACCAAAGGUUAAGUUGAUCACCAAUGGCCGAUGGUUUAAUCAAUCAUGCCUAUAGUAAUAAGGCCUCCAUAAAACCCCAAAAGGACAGGAUUUGGGGAGCUUUUGAAUAGCUGUACACAUGGAGGUUCCUGGAAGGUGUUGUGCCUGGGGAGGGUAUGGAAGCUCUGCUCCCCUCCUCUCCUGUAACUUGUCCUGUGCAUCUCUUUAUCUAUAUUCUUUGUAAUAUCUCUUGUAACAAACCGGUAAACAUAAGUAAAUGUUUCCCUGAAUUCUGUGAGCUGCUGUAGCAAAUUAACCAACCCCAAAGAGGAAGAGGCUGUGGUGUCCCCAAUUUGUAGUUGGUUGGCAGAAGUUUCAGCGGCCUGGACUUAUGACUGGUGUCUGAAGAGGUGAGGGUUGUGGGACUGAGCCCUCAAUCUGUGGGAUCUGAUGCUAUCUCCAGGUAGAUAGUGUUUGAAUUUAGUUGGGAGGACACCCAGCUGCAGUCUGCUGCAGAGUUGAUUGCUUGCUUGUUGGUGGGAAGAAAUCUCCACACUUCUGGUCACAGAAGUCUUCUGUAUUGAUUGUUGCUGUGUGGUGUGAGAGCAGUUUGAGUUUUUUCAGCUUCAACAGAGAAAAAGAGGAGGAGCAAGGAUGGAGGCCUAUGGCAUUCCAGUGUGAAGAGGUGGGAGAGGGGAGAUGAGGAAGAAUCAGUAGGAUCUGAGAAGGAGCAGCCAGGAGGUAGAAGGACAACCAAGAGAGCAGGUGUUCCAGAAGCCCAGAGAAGACAGUGUUUCAGAAGGAUGGAUGUCAAAUGUUGCUGACAGGCCAAGAAGAAGCCCUGGGAUUUGAACACUGGACUUAGCAACAUGAAGAUGUUCACAGAUGAUGUGCAGGAACAGCAAACAAGAUGAAAAAAACUAAUGAAAACUGCUCAGAAAAAAGAAAAGGUAAAAAGGACCAUCUCAUAGAGCAACGCAUUCCUGUCACUGGAAGUGUUCAGACAAAGUGUAGAAGGUGACCUGUGAAUGCUCAUGUACCUUAAGCCAUGGGUGAUUCAGUGCUUCAUAAACAGUGAUCCUUUCAGCUGGAUCCAGCAUCAGCAUGCGACGUACUAGGUCUUUGGCACUUUCAGAGAUAUGGCUCCACUGCCUUGGAUUCAUCUGAGGAGGAGGAAAGGAAAACUACAUAGUUACCUUAAAUGAGACAUUAACAUUCACUAUUAUUUAAUAUUCCUAUAUUGCUUCAAUGUGAAUAAAAUUCUGAGAGCAAA